GCCAGCAGCCAUGUUACCCUGCAAUUUACAAUUGGCAACCCACUGAAGCUAAGCAGAUGUGACCCUGUUCAGUAUCUGGAUGGGAGACCUCCUGGGAAAAACUAAGGUUGCUGCUGGAA
rfam:Lepisosteus oculatus linkage group LG8, whole genome shotgun sequence.